UAGGGGAUCUUCCACAAUGGGCGAAAGCCUGAUGGAGCAACGCCGCGUGUGUGAUGAAGGGUUUCGGCUCGUAAAACNCUGUUGUAAGAGAAGAAUGACAUUGAGAGUAACUGUUCAAUGUGUGACGGUAUCUUACCAGAAAGGAACGGCUAAAUACGUGCCAA
rnacentral:rRNA from 1 species